rnacentral:ncRNA from 1 species
UAAAAAGCUUUGAAAAGGAAGAGUAUCUUUUAAACAGCUGUCAGAGAGAAAAGUUCGUAGGCUGCAAAACUUUUUCGGUAUGCAAAAGAGAAGACCGCCUUCAAGCUCACUUUUGAAAUCAUAGUAGAAAGUUGCGGUGGAGUCCGUUAUCGCCAUGAAGAGAUUCAUUAGGUGGAAAGCGAGUAUGCACUCGUCCUGUUU